UAAUUUUAAGUAUUUUAUGUUUUCAAUGGUAUUAUAACAAAAGGCUUUCAAUAUCUCUUAAAAUCUUAAAUCCUGGCUGUCUGCAGUGGCUCACACCUGUAAUCCCGACACUUUGAGAGGCCAAGGCUAGUAUCCACUACCACCUCAGCCUCCCAGAGCAAUCCUUACUCUCAGUUACGGUUUGUGGAACUAUAAAUUGGUACAGCUUCAGAGGAGAGUAAUGUGAAUGCUUUUCUCUAAAUUACAAAAGAACAUACUCUCAGAUUCAGUUAACUCCACUUCUAGUAAUGUCUCCUAUGAUGUACAAGAAAGUGUGCAAAAUCACCUAGAUUCAUCAAAGAACUGUUUACAUAAUGAAAAAUAGGAAACCAACAUAUGCACCAAGAUAUUGGUUAAACAAAUUAUGAUGCAUUCAUUUGAUAGACUUGGUCCAUCAGAACCCCAGCAGAAAAAUAUGAGUGCUUAAUGGAGGGACUUUUUUU
rnacentral:lncRNA from 10 species